UACGAGUGGUGCAAGCAUUAUUCGGAAUCAUUGGGCGUAAAGGGUGCGUAGGCGGCCCGUUAAGUCAGUGGUGAAAGCCCAUAGCUCAACUAUGGAACUGCCAUUGAUACUGACGGGCUUGAGUACAGACGAGGUAGGCGGAAUUGAAGAUGUAGCGGUGAAAUGCAUAGAUAUCUUCAAGAACACCGAUUGCGUAGGCAGCUUACUAGGCUGUAACUGACGCUGAGGCACGAAAGCGUGGGGAGCGAACAGG
rnacentral:rRNA from 1 species